UGGGGAAUAUUGGACAAUGGGCGAAAGCCUGAUCCAGCCAUGCCGCGUGAGUGACGAAGGUCUUCGGAUUGUAAAGCUCUUUUGGCGGGGACGAUAAUGACGGUACCCGCAGAAUAAGCCCCGGCUAACUUCGUGCCAGCAGCCGCGGUAAUACGAAGGGGGCUAGCGUUGUUCGGAAUUACUGGGCGUAAAGCGCACGUAGGCGGAUUUGUAAGUCAGGGGUGAAAUCCCGGGGCUCAACCUCGGAACUGCCUCUGAUACUGCGGAUCUCGAGUCCGGAAGAGGUGAGUGGAAUUCCUAGUGUAGAGGUGAAAUUCGUAGAUAUUAGGAAGAACACCAGUGGCGAAGGCGGCUCACUGGUCCGGUACUGACGCUGAGGUGCGAAAGCGUGGGGAGCAAACAGGAUUAGAUACCCAAGUAGUCCCUGAGCGGGCUGGCAAGGCGCAU
rnacentral:rRNA from 1 species